rnacentral:lncRNA from 1 species
UUGAUAAUUCCUAUGCAUUGCUAUCCAGUGCUUACACAUAGACGGUGCAUUCUCUGGAAUUCACCCUGGGUCAGAGCCUUCUCACCUCCCAGCACAAGCCAGUAGCUUAAGCCUCAGUGUCCCAGCUUCGGUGCACUGGGCAGGAGAUGGGUCUCCCAAGACCACUCAGCCAUGUGGUUCCUUCAGCUCUCAGCACAGCCGAGUCCAGGCUGCAGGCUCUCCAUCACAAGCCAACUACAGAGUGACACAUGUUCUCUACACAUGCCGUGACUGAAUAUGUUGUGUUCUGAAAAUAUUUGGGAGUUAAUUUGUGUUUUGUGCCUAGUGCUUCAUGGACCGGUGCUCAUUGCAUCCUUACAGCCAUCUACAAGGGUGUCACCAUUAUUUGUAUUUUAUUAGACUUAGAGAGGUGAAGUGACUUGCUCAAAAUAAUACGGUUAGCAAAUGACUGAACCCCGACCCAACAGGGAGAAUGUGGGAAGAAAUCAACAAAGCUUAUUUAACAGGUAUCUGCCAAGGGUUGGAAAAAAUAAGAUUUAUUGUUGCUCCACUGAGCAGAACACAGCCCAUCAGAGGUUACUGCACCUUCAACGACAUGUGCUUUUGACUGACCCAUCAAAACACUGGUGGCAAGAGCACUAAAUAAGUUGCCUAUCAUACUUAAUCUUUCCAGGAUUCAAAGAGGAGUGUAGAGUGAAAUGACCUAUAAGACCCCUGAGCCUAAAAUAUAAUCUAAUGGACUCAGCUUUAAAGCGCUCAUUGAGAGGAUGGCCAAAAACCAGCCGCCACAGUGCGAAGCACGAUUCCUCCACCAUCCGCAGUCCACUCGCACAAAUACCCUCAGUGAAACACUUCUUUCUCUCCACCCACUUUUGAGUAGGAUGAAAUGGCACAUUCCAUUUUCAAAGUGGGCAGCUUGCACGUAUCAGCAGUGCCAGGAAUUUGGAAAACGAUAACGUGGAACCCACAGUAACUUGCUGGCUGAAUUUACUCACCCAGGUGACCCAGGUCGAUGAGGGCUUCAGAGCCACGGGGAUUUUAAAUGCCGCUUCAAAGCCAACAAGGAGCAGAACCAGUGCUGAUUCGUGUUUAUGAUAAUGACAUUUGAAAGGCUAAAAAUUACAAAGUUGUUUACAGAGAUGGACUUAGAAAAUAAUUGUAUCUAAUGUCUCAUAAACAUAAAAGAAAGUUAUUUUGUAGUAGAUGAUUGAAAAGAAAAAAUCUCCUUUAAAAAGGAAAUAAAUAUACUAGUUUCAGACAGAAACAACUUCAAAGGCAAUCAGAAAAUUCAGUGGAAUUUUAAAGAGGGAAUCUCACUCAAAGAAUUCUCUAAAAUUGCCUAAACUUAAAAGCAUUAUUUUUCUCGAGACAUUUAAUUUAGAUUGCAUACCAAACCCUGUAAUAAACCUCCUGCAAAGAAAUAAUAAUAGACCAUAGGCAUUAUAUAUGUUCACUGUUCACUGCGUGUAAAUACAAUGAUUGACCUUCCAUCAACAGACAAGAGGCAUAACUCCAUGGCAACAGAGAAAUAGAGGUCACAAUCAUAUUUUCCAAGGCAAUUUUUGGCCCUCGGGGGAUUCACUGUUAUACUUGGAGGCCAUGUCACCUGAGAGUCAAUGGGCAACGAUCAAAUUUCACCUUGAGCAGAUUCUUUUGUUUGCUUUUUAGUCACAAAUAGCUUGGCCCUAAGUGGUGGCUCCCAUUCUUGUAAGAUGCGUUUAUUCAUCGUGUAAUCACCAGUUCCCUGUAGUGGGGGCGUGGAUGGAGUGUCAGAGGCUCCUGCUGGUCUUUAGGGUGUCUGGCCUCCAGGAAUCCUAGAGGUAGUAUUUGGAGAGAUUUUUAAAAGCUUUGUUUCUGUGACCAGCAAAACCUGGAUUUGACACUGAGGUCAGCCCGUUUCAGCCAGUGACGUAACCUGUCUUUUUGCCCCAGUAAAUUGGGAACUACAGCACUCGAUGUUAGAGUUGUCGUGAAGAUUAAAGAAGGUGACGACUGGACAACUCCCAGCCCAAUACCUGAAACUGUACCAGCACCCAGUGAGCACUGCUAUUCCUGUGACUGCUGCACAUUUGCCUUAUCUCAGCAGUAUGCCUGUGUCACUUUUUUGGCACUCUUUUCUCAUGGGUACAUUCAGAGAAGAGGAAUGUUUGUUCACUGGUGAAGAGAACAUCCCGUGUACUAUCGUGUAGAAGUUGUAGUAGACGCUGUGGUCUUUCCAACAACAAACAAAGUUCAAGGGUACAUGUGCACAUUGGUCAUAUAGGUAAAUUGCAUGUCAGAGUGGUUUGGCAUAUGGAUUAUUUCAUCACCCAGGUAAUCAGUAUCCAAUCAGUAGUUUUCUCUACUCUCCUUCCUCCCACCUCCACUCUCAAGUGGAUUCUGAUGUCUGUUGUUUCCUUCCCUGAGUCUCUGUGUACUCAACGUCCAGCUCCCACUUAUAAUUGAAAGCAUGUGGUAUUCGAUUUUCUGUUCCUGUGUUAGUUUGCUUAGGAUGA